rnacentral:lncRNA from 1 species
AUAUAUAUAUAUAUAUAUAUAUAUAUAAUAUAUACAUAUAAAUGAUAUAUAAAUGUCUUUAUAUAAUAUAUCAAGUUAUUCGCCUUGAUGACUUGCCAAACAGAACUGCCCACAUAGCGGGAGUUCCGAAGUCCAUCCAAACACUCGUCCACAUGUUAUACAUGCCUCUUGCAGACCGGGUCUCCGGAUCAGAGGGAGAGAGGCGGCCUGCUGUUCCAACGACGGUCACACAAAAGCUAACAGUCGCUCUACGUCGCUGCGGCUGCGCUGGGCAGUGACCGAGGGCCAAGGAUUGUGUGGCGUGGCGGUAGUGGCUGCCCGAUGGUUUGGUAGUUAGAGGGCGGGUUUAGUCACAUUGACAUCACUACAAUGAGAAUAAAAUACAUUUUAAAACAUGAAUGUGUUCAAGUGUCUUUUUAUUGAAACAAAAAAUCUCAUCAGCUGCACACCCAGCCACGAUUUCGGCAGCAAGUGACGAAGGUAAUAAAUAAGCUGCAAUAUCUUAAUUAUAUCCAGAUCGUCGUCAUUUACCGAUGGUCUAAAAAGAGUACACCCGAAUUUACCCCCCAACCCCCAAUGGCUUGUACGCUUAUGAAAAUGAAAAAAAAGGAAGAUUUCUAAAUCGGCGCCUUAAAAAAGGUUAAUAACCAAGGAAUGAAACCAUUACAAUGACAGUGCAUACGAAUAUAGAAAAUUUAAAUUAAGUAAGCCAAUGGAUAAAUAGAUCUAUUAGUUAAGGGUCAAAUACACAUCAAUAUGAACAGAAAAUAACAAAACGCGGAGCAAACUCCCCUAGAGAUUUUAAAUACCUGAGUAUGCCUCCUCAUACAACGCGGGGAAACAACGCGACCGCAAGGGAGGUCAUCCAGAUAGAUUCCAAGUCACGUAUGGUCAACUCCACACGUGAGAGGAAUGUCAGUUUUAACAGGAAGGUUUUGGUAUUCCUUUUUUGAUAAGUUAAACCACUCAGAAACAAAGAACUUCACAGAGCACAUUUUUGAUGAGUUUCGUCUUUGGAGCAUUCUAAGGUCUAGAAAGCGGCUUAUGGCGCAUCAGCGCAGUUUUCGUGACGCAAGAGACAUUCUCAUUGCAUUCAACUAUUUAUAAAACAGCUUUCAAAAAAAAAAAAAAAAAUAUAUAUAUAUAUAUAUAUAUUAGAGCCAAGCUGAUAAUGAAAACUUUCUACAAAUAUUGUAAAGUAUAAAAUUGAAAGUUUAGAACAUUAUCAUUCAUUCCUUGAUAAAAGAAAGUGUAAACCCUACUUUAGUUUUAAAAAAGUUCAGUUAGAGGGCGUUAAACAUAGGGGUGCGCUGGGAUCAGUUCCACUCCCUUCACUUGACGUUCUGCUGAGAUUUUGCUUAACACACAUUAUUUAGGAUUAUAUCUUUACAGAUAUUCUCUUUACCUAAUUUUUGGCGGUAUUCUUUAGUUUGUGAAAUUUUUAAUGAUCGUCUGAUCUUUUGAUAUCUAAAUCACAAAUAUCCAAUAGCAAAAUAAUUAAGGAAUUCACUGCAUCAUGCUGCUGCCACAUAUCUUGCUUUUAAGGCCACAUUGUUAAUGAAGAGCUGUACUUCCAUAAACUGGAUAUGAUUAAUAUGAGUAAAAAAACAACAAAAAAUUACUGUACAAUAGAACAGGAACCAAUGGUAUUUGUAAAAUGGUAUUGCUUCUUAUAAACAACUUCUAGUUAUCAGUUAAUCAUGCAUCUACUUUUUAUGUCCCAACACUACUAAUGCUUAUACCAGUAACAUAUGAAAUAAAAACCUUAGCGACAAAGUAUUAUCUAAAUAGUAAUGUAAGCUUACUAUAUUCAUUUAAUUUUCUUGUGAUAAAUUAGACAGGUUAAAAAAAAAAAGAGCACUGUUUAACAUUUAUUUACACAUAUCACAUGCCUGUACAACAGUUGGACUGAGCCAGUGUUCAAUCAAUAUGCUCAUCAUAUAACAACUUCACAAGAAAUGACAAUGUCAGAAACAGUAUUAUAACAGGUAAUGGAAGAAUAUAAGUUGAAGGUUUGCACAUUUACAAAGCUUUUUUAUGUAAUUAUGUUGCUACAUUUCACUUCCAUUCUUUGUUAACUAUGUAGUAUUCCUGAAAAUACCAUGAAUUCUAAGCUAAGUCUGUAGUUCAAUGUUUACAAGACUUUUACAACUCUUUUAUAUAAUAUAUUUUUAUUUUCUAAAUGUCAUUGUACUAAAUUAUAACAAAUCAAUACAACUAUCAAGAUGUUCUAUACAGUUCUACGCUCUACCCUCAUAAAUUCAUCACACUGCUCUGUACUAUAAAAUACUAGUAAAUGAAUAAUUGCUAUCAUACUCCACCCCUAUUCCCUUAAUCUAUACCUUUGUAUACAAGUACAAACAAACUUAUGGUGAGGCACAACUUGUAUCAAUAAAAGUGGCAGUUUUCAGACUUGGGUGCUAUGUUGAAAUGUACAUUUUUUAUGCAAAAACUAUUUGCCCAAAAUGUCUGUGCAGCUGAAGUAAUUACAUAGUGGUUAAUAUCUACACAUGUCACAAAGAGAGUUAAAGUUCUGCAUACAUAAUCUGAAUAACUUGAUUAGCUUAUGUGUUAUUUAUGUAUUUGCUAUGAGCUGGUCCUACAGUAAUAUAUAAUUAACUAAUUGGCAGAGUAGCUGGUUGGUGAUCUAAAAGAUGGUGAUAUUUUUUCAUCCUAUGCAACUGUGUUUAAAAGUGAAGAUGAAUGUACAGUGUCUAAUAGAUCAUAGUCCAGUUUUUAUUGUCAACUUUAACUAAGCCACAGCAUUCAACUACAGUAAAAUGGUAAUGCUUUUAACUGAAUGGGUUACUAACAGUUCUUUUCCUACUUACAAAACUGUAACAAUAACUUUCUGGAAUCCAUCCAUGGAGUGUAGACCAUAGUAUUGUAUUGCCACAUCAAAGAGACUUGCUGCAAUGCACAGAAAAUAUAUUCUGUGAAUAUAUAAGAACUUCUAAAAGACAUAAUUACACACACAUACACACACACACACACACACACACACACAUAUAUAUAUAUAUAUAUAUAUAUAUAUAUAUAUAUAUAUAUAUAUAUAUAUAUAUUUAUGGUUUCAAUUCCAUUACCUUUGAUGUACAAAGCCAUAGGUUUUAUGCUGCGUUGAAUAUAGUCAACACAUGUUAUUAUCAUGUUACUAUUAUGUAUAUUAAUAAGAGGCAUUACAUGUAUGACAGACAUUCUUUCAUCCUGGGGUAUGAGUUUGCAUGAACCAGGACAUGAGGCAGCACGCUGAGACAUUAUAUGUUAACUAGUUAAUCUGAUCUUCAUCACUUUCAAAUCUUACUACUGAAGCAAAAUCCUCUGCAUUGUAUCAAAUUAACUUUAUACUUUCAUAAAUGGCACUAAUUGAUUAAUGACACAUAAAACAUUGCCAUAAAUCUAAAUGUUAACAAAAAUAUUGACCUUUUCUAGCUAAAUAUUAGAAAAUGCAUAACUAACUUUCCUAGGUCUACUGCACAUAUGCAUAUCUAAGUCUAGCCUCUAUGUUGAUUACCCUUGCAUAGGUAUGUGCAUGUGCGCACAUACACACACACACACACACACACACACACACACACACACACACACACACACACACACACACACACACACACA